UCUACGUUACUAAUAAACGGAGAGAUCUAGACCAUUGAUUCACCAUCUCGGAGCUCUGUAGUUAACAAAGAAAGGGGCAAGUACUCAGUUCCCGCCAUUUCUUGAUCCUUCGAAACCCUGCUUCAAUCCGAAACCCUAACUCUCUCUCUCUCACUCUCUCUCUGUUCCUCUCUGCGUGCAUCAAUGGAGUUUCCUCCUCCGAACGAUGUCCAAAAUCGACGAAGAGGGAGAAAGAAGAUCCCCAAGCCACUGUUGUUAUGGCAAAAGUGGGAAAGCGAGAACCAGAAAUUCGUUGAAGAGAAGAUGCGAGAAGAAGAUGCUUCCGCCGGUGCCGGUAAUGGAAAAGAAGAAUUAACGGUGGAAACCGCCGAGCCUUCCUCUGAUCUCACCGUACCUCUGCUCAGGUACCAAAAGGAAUGGCUAGCGUGGGGUUUGAAUCAGGAAAAUUCUCCUGUUAGAGGUGGAAUUCUUGCAGAUGAAAUGGGAAUGGGGAAGACUAUUCAAGCAAUUGCCCUUGUUCUUGCCAAACGUCAAGACUUGCGACAAACGGGUCGCGAAAUUGAACACGAAUGGGUGCCUUCAACCUCAAGUCCUUUUGUUACAGUGUUGCCUGCAAUCAAAGGAACGCUUGUUGUGUGUCCCCCGGUUGCUGUCUCUCAUUGGGUCAAUGAAAUUGAUCGCUUUACUUCCGAAGGGAGCACUGAGGUGCUGGUCUAUCAUGGAAUUGAUUUAGUGAAGCCCCGGGACCAGUUCUCGAAGUUUGAUUUUGUUAUAACUACUUACUCUAUUGUUCAGUCUGAGUGCAAGACGGCCAUGAGUGAAUGUCUCUAUUGUGGAAAGGUGUUUUUGGAGCCUAAUUCUCGUCAAGACCAUGUUUGUAGGCCUGAUGUUAGAGCUGAAAGACAGCCACUUCUACAUGCUGUAAAGUGGCAGCGGAUCGUAUUGGAUGAGGCGCACUAUAUAAAAGAUAUAGAUGACAGCACUACUGAAGCAGUUCUUGCUUUAGAGUCUUCCUACAAAUGGACAUUAAGUGGCACUCCCCUUCAGAACAAUGUCGGAGAGCUGUAUUCUCUGGUGCGGUUCCUGCAAGUUACUCCUUAUUCCUACUUAUUGUGCAAGGACUGUGAUUGUAAGAUUCUUGAGAAGGAAAGAAAUGAAAAAUGUUCGAAAUGCAGCCAUGGUACUUCAAGGCAUUUCUCUUGUACAUUGUCCAUAAAAUUGAAAGUGAUGAGAAAAUAACUGUUAUUGCUUAAACACAAAGUUUUGAAGAACAUAGUGCUAAGGCGCACUAAAAUAGGCAGGGUUGCUGAUCUUGCGUUUCCACAAAAAAUUAUUUCAUUGAGAAGAGUCUACCUGGACGUAAGGGAGCAAGACUAUUACGAGUCAACAUCUAUUGAAUGUCAGAAACGGUGUAAUAUAUUUAAUGCAUGCAAUUUUGCGGUGAAUCAUCAUGCUGAUAAAUUUGGUCUCCUCACGGAGCUGCGUCAGGCUGUUGAUCACCGAUACCUUGUGGUAAAUUCUAAACCUGCAGCGUUAGAAGGGGGAGGUGUGGCAGAAAAUGAUGGUACUGUUGAACAAGUAUGUGGCAUUUGUGAUGAGCCAGAGGAAGACCCUGUAGUUACCUCUUGUGAGCAUGUAUUUUGUAAUGCAUGCCUAGUAGACUUCUCUGCUUCCAUGGAUCCAGUGCUAUGCCCCUCAUGCUCUCAACCAAUAACUGUUGAGAUAACUUCCAGUAAGGAUGUCAGUGGCAAGUCUAAUGAUACAGCCAUUAAGGGUUUCAGAUCAUCAAGCAUCUUAUACAAAACUGAGCUUGAGAACUUUGAGACAAGCACUAAAAUAGAGGCUUUGAGAGAAGAAAUAAAUUUCAUGUUUCAAAGAGAUGGUUCUGCCAAAGGGAUUGUUUUUAGCGAAUUCACAUCAUUCUUGGAUCUUAUAAAUUACUCUUUGGUCAAGUCUGGAGUGUCUUGUGUUCAAUUGAACGGAUGCAUGUCAUUGACUGCUGCCAUUAAAAGAUUUAAUGAUGAUCCAGACUGCAAAUUUUUUCUCUUGAGUUUGAAGGCAGCUGGUGUGGCCCUCAAUUUGACUGUAGCAUCACAUGUUUUCCUCAUGGAGCCUUGGUGGAACCCAGACGCAGAGCAACAGGCUCAGGAUAGAAUUCACCGAAUAGGGCAAAAUAAACCUAUAAGAGUUGUGAAGUUUAUCACAGAGAACACCGUCGAGGAGAGGAUUCUGGAGCUGCAGCAGAAGAAGGAAGCAGUGUCUGAAGGGCUAAUAAGACGGCUCUUCUGAAGCUUUGGGGAGAUUGAAACCGUCCGAGAUGAUGAACCUGUUUGGAUUUUAACUGAAAACUCCAGGCUAAAAUGUAAAAGUAACUCCAUGUUUCAUUUUCCUUAACCUGAUGCAAUGCAUCAAAAUUUUGAUAGUAUGUCGUAGCUGACAUUUGGCGAAAUGCACUUGAUCACGGUAAAUAGGCUUGUAGGGUCUGAGCCCACUGUCACAUUUUUUAGUAUGUUUUGUUUUCAUUGAUUGAACAGUAAAUACAAAAUGUAACUUUGCUAGAACUCUAAGAACUAUUAGGGAAAAAAAACUACAGAGAAAAAUUGUUUGAUUUUAGUCCAUAGAGUUUUAAUUGAAAGUGCAUGG